rnacentral:rRNA from 1 species
AACAGGAUUAGAUACCCUGGUAGUCCACGCCGUAAACGAUGUCGACUUGGAGGUUGUGCCCUUGAGGCGUGGCUUCCGGAGCUAACGCGUUAAGUCGACCGCCUGGGGAGUACGGCCGCAAGGUUAAAACUCAAAUGAAUUGACGGGGGCCCGCACAAGCGGUGGAGCAUGUGGUUUAAUUCGAUGCAACGCGAAGAACCUUACCUACUCUUGACAUCCAGAGAACUUUCCAGAGAUGGAUUGGUGCCUUCGGGAACUCUGAGACAGGUGCUGCAUGGCUGUCGUCAGCUCGUGUUGUGAAAUGUUGGGUUAAGUCCCGCAACGAGCGCAACCCUUAUCCUUUGUUGCCAGCGGUUAGGCCGGGAACUCAAAGGAGACUGCCAGUGAUAAACUGGAGGAAGGUGGGGAAGACGUCAAGUCAUCAUGGCCCUUACGAGUAGGGCUACACACGUGCUACAAUGGCGCAUACAAAGGGAAGCGACCUCGCGAGAGCAAGCGGACCUCAUAAAGUGCGUCGUAGUCCGGAUUGGAGUCUGCAACUCGACUCCAUGAAGUCGGAACCGCUAGUAAUCGUGGAUCAGAAUGCCACGGUGAAUACGUUCCCGGGCCUUGUACACACCGCCCGUCACACCAUGGGAGUGGGUUGCAAAAGAAGUAGGUAGCUUAACCUUCGGGAGGGCGCUUACCACUUUGUGAUUCAUGACUGGGGUGAAGUCGUAACAAGGUAACC